UACAGAGGGUGCGAGCGUUAAUCGGAAUUACUGGGCGUAAAGCGUGCGUAGACGGUUAUUUAAGUCGGAUGUGAAAGCCCUCGGCUUAACCGAGGAAGUGCACUCGAAACUGACAGUCUUGAGUACGGGAGAGGGUCGCGGAAUUCCCGGUGUAGAGGUGAAAUUCGUAGAUAUCGGGAGGAACACCAGUGGCGAAGGCGGCUUUCUGGGCCUUACCUGACGCUGAGACGCGAAAGCGUGGGGAGCGAACCGG
rnacentral:rRNA from 1 species